GCUUCCAGCUGGGAAGAAGGAGCUGCUGGUGAAGAAUGGAGGCCUGGCUUUUGUUGGGAUCGAACUCCUUUAGGAGAAGAUUACUUUAAGCCUCCAGGAAGCGGUGCAGAAGAGGGUGUAGAACUCAGAGUAAAAGCAGCCUAGCAGCUUGGCAAGGUUUCACCUGGAAACUGUGGAGCCCUGUGAAAAGGGACUUCUUCUAUCACGUUUGGUUUGCUUUGGAGUGAAGAUCCAAAACGAUCUGGGGAGUGAGUUGCAGCUUGCUUUUGUGGUGAAGACUAACAAGUUGGUGAAAGUCAGAGAUGCAUUUGGAAAACUUGCCUUCACUGAAGUACCAGCAAUAAUUUUCUCAUUGGAAAUUGUUGCCGGACCAGUAAAGGACCUACUUGUGUCUCCAAUCAGAGCAGAAAGGGUUCAGUGCAGGAGAGUUCUGAGACACCCCUGAAAUGAUGAUUAAGUGAGUUCUUCAGAUCAAGAGCUCGAAGAAAAGAAAGAAGUAGAGCCCGAAGACUCGAUGGUGCAGCUGCCCAGAUGGGAAAGAGGAUAAGCCAUCUCUGACUCAAACAUGGAGAUGGGCAGAAGAAUCGGAUAAAAGAGAUGAAGAACUUGUGUGAGUCUAAAUGUUCAUUGCUUCAUCAUCCAUUAAGGCACUCGUGGAGGAAGGAACAGAGCCAAAUAAAUGGAGCCUCUUCACUACAAAUGGUCUCAUCAAAGCUUCAAGGAUCUAUAUUUCUGCUAUUGGUCUGUUGCUGGGUGAAGAAUGAGGUCAGAGAAACAGCAAGUCCCGGCCUUAAGUUUACUUCUGAGUUUACCGAGACUUACUUUUCUGGAAGUCUUGCCUUCCGGUCUCAUCCAUACAGAACUCCAAAUCUUGUUCAUCAUAAGAUCUCACGCCUCCUUGCAAAACUAUCUGUAAUGGUAUUGAUGGAUUCGUCUGGCAGGAACGAGUGACAGACCUCAGUCCAGACACUUCGAGGCCCAGAAUCCUCCUGAAGAAAUGGCUUAUAGUGCUAAGGGCUUGGGCAGUUCCCCUCUCGCCUCCUCCCCCCUCCCCCCUUUUUACUCCUUUCCCCCUCUCCACUUCCUCCCAUACCUCCCCUCUCUGGAGAUAACUUAAUUUUCCAGGAUACAAUUAUAGCAGUAACAUUUCAAACUCUAUAAUAAUUCCCAUCUUUCUUGGAAAAGAUUCCAUUCGUGCCCAGAGGAUUCCUAUUGUGUGACCCAAUAAUCAGUUCCUGCCUUGACUAAUCUAAGGGAAAAUACCAUAUCAAUGCUUAGAGUCCAUAAAUGGAUGUGGGACACAGCAAAGAGGAAGUCAAUCUAUCAUAAAGAGAUGUUGUGACAACUCUCAAAAUGAGCCCAAAUGGAGAAGCAAUGUUGAUUGCCACGAGUGAGGUAAAUUGCAUCAAUUUUAAACCGAUAGUUUCUAAAAGAAAGGGGCUUUUUCUACUCUUUCGUGAGGCACGGCAAGGGUGGUAGAGGCAGGGGGAGCUCAGAGGUAAUAGUUUUAGGUUCUGAGUAAUUCUCCUUAAAAAUCCCUGAACAAACAUUACACCUGUUUGGCUGCUUAAACAUGUAAUGAGUUCCAUUGGAAUAUAAGCUCCUUGUAGGCAAGGAACAUGUACCAAACAUGUAGUAAAGUGUAUUGCAUUCCAUAUAGAUGUAAUAAAUACUGUUACUGGU